CUCGGAGUGGUCUAGUUGGUUCAUGGCGUUCGACUGUAAUGGAUAUUCAUCUCAUCGAAAAGUCGGCGGUUCGAUUCCGUCCUCUGAGA